rnacentral:rRNA from 1 species
UGGGGAAUUUUGGACAAUGGGCGCAAGCCUGAUCCAGCCAUGCCGCGUGUCUGAAGAAGGCCUUCGGGUUGUAAAGGACUUUUGUCAGGGAAGAAAAGGCUGUUGCUAAUACCGACAGCUGAUGACGGUACCUGAAGAAUAAGCACCGGCUAACUACGUGCCAGCAGCCGCGGUAAUACGUAGGGUGCGAGCGUUAAUCGGAAUUACUGGGCGUAAAGCGAGCGCAGACGGUUACUUAAGCAGGAUGUGAAAUCCCCGGGCUCAACCUGGGAACUGCGUUCUGAACUGGGUGACUAGAGUGUGUCAGAGGGAGGUAGAAUUCCACGUGUAGCAGUGAAAUGCGUAGAGAUGUGGAGGAAUACCGAUGGCGAAGGCAGCCUCCUGGGAUAACACUGACGUUCAUGCUCGAAAGCGUGGGUAGCAAACAGGAUUAGAUACCCUGGUAGUCCACGCCCUAAACGAUGUCAAUUAGCUGUUGGGCAACUUGAUUGCUUAGUAGCGUAGCUAACGCGUGAAAUUGACCGCCUGGGGAGUACGGUCGCAAGAUUUA